UACAGAGGUGGCAAGCGUUGUUCGGAAUUACUGGGCGUAAAGGGCGCGUAGGCGGUUCGAUAAGUCCUGUGUGAAAUCCCUCGGCUCAACUGAGGAACUGCACGGGAGACUGUCGGGCUUGAGUUCGGGAGAGGGAAGCGGAAUUCCGGGUGUAGCGGUGAAAUGCGUAGAUAUCGAGAGGAACACCUGCGGCGAAGGCGGGUUGCUGGGCUGACACUGACGCUGAAGCGCGAAAGCUAGGGGAGCGAACGGG
rnacentral:rRNA from 1 species